rnacentral:tRNA from 2 species
UCGUUAGCUCAGUUGGUAGAGCAGGGGACUUUUAAUCCCAAGGUCGUGGGUUCGAGACCCACACGA